GCACAAGCGGUGGAUGAUGUUGGAUUAAUUCGAUGCAACGCGAAAACCUUACCUACCCUUGACAUGUCCGGAAUCCCGAAGAGAUUUGGGAGUGCUCGCAAGAGAGCCGGAACACAGGUGCUGCAUGGCUGUCGUCAGCUCGUGUCGUGAGAUGUUGGGUUAAGUCCCGCAACGAGCGCAACCUUGUCAUUAGUUGCCAUCAUUUGGUUGGGCACUCUAAUGAGACUGCCGGUGACAAACCGGAGGAAGGUGGGGAUGACGUCAAGUCCUCAUGGCCCUUAUGGGUAGGGCUUCACACGUCAUACAAUGGUCGGUACAGAGGGUUGCCAACCCGCGAGGGGGAGCUAAUCCCACAAAGCCGAUCGUAGUCCGGAUCGCAGUCUGCAACUCGACUGCGUGAAGUCGGAAUCGCUAGUAAUCGUGGAUCAGCAUGUCACGGUGAAUACGUUCCCGGGUCUU
rnacentral:rRNA from 1 species